UAGUCCACGCCGUAAACGAUGGAUACUAGCUGUUCGGUAGCAAUACUGAGUGGCUAAGCGAAAGUGAUAAGUAUCCCACCUGGGGAGUACGUUCGCAAGAAUGAAACUCAAAGGAAUUGACGGGGGCCCGCACAAGCGGUGGAGCAUGUGGUUUAAUUCGAUGAUACGCGAGGAACCUUACCAGGGCUUAAAUGUAGUCUGACAGGACUGGAAACAGUUUUUUCUUCGGACAGAUCACAAGGUGCUGCAUGGUUGUCGUCAGCUCGUGCCGUGAGGUGUUAGGUUAAGUCCUGCAACGAGCGCAACCCCUAUCAUUAGUUGCUAACAGGUUAAGCUGAGGACUCUAAUGAGACUGCCGGUGCAAACCGCGAGGAAGGUGGGGAUGACGUCAAAUCAUCACGGCCCUUACGUCCUGGGCUACACACGUGCUACAAUGGCAGGUACAGAGGGCAGCUACCCCGCGAGGGGAUGCGAAUCUUCAAAGCCUGUCUCAGUUCGGAUCG
rnacentral:rRNA from 1 species